UGAGUUUUCUGGGGGACGUGGGGCCAUGUCCAGGCUGACAGGAGCCCCCGGCCUCCUGAGGACCUGCUGUGAGGCUUCCAGAGGAUGUGAGGCAUAGUCCACAGUGACAGGAGACCCGGCGUCCUCAGGACCCGCUGACUAUGACUCAGGAACACGUGGGGCCACGUCCACACUCACAGGAGCCCGGUUUCCUCAGGACCCCUUGGAGGAAUCUGGAGGAGCCAUUGGGGGCCACGUCCAUAUCAGAAGGGACUCCUCAGAACCACAGUAAUUUAUGGGGAAGCCGUGUGUUGGGCUUCUUUUCCGUCGGACGUUUCCGAAGCUAACAGGCCACAGCUGGAACCUGGAAAGAGGCAGAGGUCGGCCGGGGAUGGGCAUGUGCCUCCUGCACAGCCUCCUGUAGUGCCUGAGGAUCCCGCAGGGGGGCGCCCGAUCCCAGGCACCGCGGAAGGGGCACACAUGUGCAGUAGGCCUCGUCAGCCUGAACUAACAGGAGCCAGCCUGUGCUGGGGAGGCCUGAGGAAGACGUGGGGACAUGUCCACGCUGAUGAGCCGCAGCCUCCUCAGAAUCUGCGGGGGUCUUCAGGGGGAUAUUGGGCAGCAUUCACGCUGACAGGAGCCCUGGUCUCCUCAGGACACACGGUGAGGCUUCCGGAAGAUAUGGGCCCACAUCUAUCCUGAUAGGAGACCUUGGGCCGCCUCAGGACCUGCGGGGAGGCUUCAGGAAAUUGUGGGCCCGCACCCACCCUGACAGGAGCCCCUGGGCUGCCUCAGGACCCGCGGGGAGGCUUCAGUAAGAUGUGAGCCCCCAUCCACGCUGACAGGAGCCCCUGGGUCGCCUCAGAACAUGUGGGGAGGCUUCUGAAAGACGGGGCGCUGCUUCCACUCCAGCAGGAGCUAACUGGCCCCUCAGGACAUAAGUUGAGACUUCUGGAAGCUGGGGGCCGCAUCCACAGUGACAGGAGCCUCGGCCACCUCAGAACCGGGGUGAUGCUUCGGGAGGACGUGGGGCCACGUCCACACAACCGGACGCUGAUGUCCUUAGGACCCCCAGUGUAGACUUCGGGAAAUAUGGGGAUGCGUCCAUGUGGACAGAAGACCCCAGCCUUGUCAGAGCCUGUGGUGAGGCCCCAGAAAAAUGUGGAUGCUGAUUCCACACUGACAGGAGUCUCCGGCCUCCUCAGGACACACUGUGAACGAUUGGGAUGAUUUGAGGGCACGUCCAUUCUGACAAGAGCCCCCAGCCUCCUCAGGUCUUAUGGUGAGGCUGAGGAAAAUGUGGGGCCACAUGAAGACUGAGAGGACCCCCUUCUUCCUCAGGACCUGCACUUUGGCUUCGGGACACAUGGGGCUGCGUCUAGGCUGACAGCAACCCACAGCCUCCUCAGGACCCGCGGUGAGUUUUCAGGGGACAUGAGGCCAUGUCCAGGCUGACAGGAGUCCCUGGCUUCCUGAGAACCUGCUGUGAGGCUUCCAGAGGAUGUGAGACAUCCAGAAGGAUGUUCCUCCUCCUUCCAGAGGAGGCAUACUCCACGUUGGCAGGAGAUCCGGCGUACUCAGGACCCACUGACUAUGACUCUGGAACACGUGGGGCCAUGUCCGCAUUUACCGGAGCCCAGCUUCCUCAGGACCCCCCUGGAGGACUCUGGAGGCGCCAUUGGGAGCCAC
rnacentral:lncRNA from 12 species